GAUCCUGGCUUAGGAUUAACGCUGGCGGCAUGCCUAAUACAUGCAAGUCGAACGGGAGUAGCAAUACUCUAGUGGCGAACGGGUGAGUAACACGUAGGCAAUCUACCCAUUAGACGAGGAUAACUAUUGGAAACGAUAGCUAAAACUGGAUAGGAUAUAGCGAGGCAUCUUGUAAUAUUUAAAGGUCCUGAAAGGGAACACUAAUGGAUGAGCCUGCGGUGCAUUAGCUAGUUGGUGAGGUAACGGCCCACCAAGGCGACGAUGCAUAGCUGUGCUGAGAGGCAAAACAGCCACAUUGGGACUGAGACACGGCCCAGACUCCUACGGGAGGCAGCAGUAGGGAAUUUUCGGCAAUGGGGGAAACCCUGACCGAGCAAUGCCGCGUGAAUGAAGAAGUUCUUCGGAAUGUAAAAUUCUGUUAUUCGUGAAAGAAAGAUAUUAAUAGGAAAUGAUUAGUAUUUGACGGUACCGAAUGAGAAAGCCCCGGCUAACUAUGUGCCAGCAGCGGC
rnacentral:rRNA from 1 species